rnacentral:rRNA from 1 species
UACAGAGGGGGCAAGCGUUGUUCGGAAUUACUGGGCGUAAAGGGCGCGUAGGCGGCCUGCUAAGUCGAACGUGAAAUCCCUGGGCUCAACCCAGGAACUGCGUCCGAUACUGGUUGGCUUGAAUCCGGGAGAGGGAUGUGGAAUUCCAGGUGUAGCGGUGAAAUGCGUAGAUAUCUGGAGGAACACCGGUGGCGAAGGCGGCCUGCUGGGCAGUUUGGCUGACACUGAGGCGCGACAGCGUGGGGAGCAAACAGG